UACAGAGGGUGCAAGCGUUGUUCGGAAUUAUUGGGCGUAAAGGGCGCGUAGGCGGUGCGGUAAGUCUGCGGUGAAAUCUCCCGGCUCAACUGGGAGGCUGCCGUGGAAACUGCCGUGCUUGAGUGUGGGAGAGGUGAGUGGAAUUCCCGGUGUAGCGGUGAAAUGCGUAGAUAUCAAGUGGAACACCAGUGGCGAAGGCGAGUCUCUGGACAUUUCCUGACGCUGAGGCACGAAAGCCAGGGGAGCAAACGGG
rnacentral:rRNA from 1 species